UGCCUCUGGGGGUGACUUAUUUAUAGUUCUCCCACCAGGGAAUCCAGGAGGCGGGUGCAGUGCGGGUGCAGUGUGGCUGUCGUCGCUGGCUGGCUUCAGGGAGAAGAUAGGGCUGUGACAUCAAGGGUUCAAUCAACCAGCCAAUAACUCAGGGCCAAGGUGGUGGAGGCUUUGGAAAUGCUGAAGGCCGUGAAACUCUCAUACCUUCUCUGUGCUGGGAUUGGCAUCUCUUUUGAGGUCAGUGUCACCCACUGCCGGUAGCUUCCCGGGUUUGCACUGUUUGGCUUUUCUAGGAGCCAGCAGCUGUCACCAUGGCUCUUACAGUCGCCUUUUGCCUUGCCAGGCUGCUUAGUUCUGCUCCCCUCACCUUGCACAUGGCAGUGUUUCUAUCACUGUCAGUGUUGCUGCCCCCACGUGGGCCCUCUGGUCCCGCAGUAUGAAGAGGCAAAGGAUGACCUGUACCCCUCACUUCUGAGAGUGCUUCUUUCCAAAGCAUGGGCUUGGGCCUCUGCCGUCAGCAAACAGCAUAAAGUGUGACUUGUUUCCCAGAGCCAGCAGACUGCACAGCCCCAACAAACCCGCUGCAGGCAGUUUACCAACAUCCAAGGGCAACCUAUCAAGGAGCAUCUGAUUAAAACAGACACUUCAUUAAACAGACCCACAGUCAAUUUGACCCUCUUCUCUCCAUUUGCCCAGAUACUAACCACAGAGAAGGGAAAAGAGUUCAUUGUGCAGCUCCUCGGGGCUAUCUGUGCUCCUGCCACACCCCAUUUCUGUCAGGAUGAUGCAGGGGGCCACUAGACGAGGCUCCAGAGGGUGAACAAACAGCUGCCACAAAGUCCCAGGCUUAAGACCUUGCUGCCUCACUGGCCGCAUCCAGAUUCCAUCCAAGAGACUAAGCUCUCACACCACCCUCCGCCCUGGUUCUGGCUCUCAUUCUGGUUUGGACUUAGGUCAGCAAACUGCUAACCGACUCUGGCAUGACCCUGAGCCCUGGGUCCUGCUGCCUUCCAAAUCGAAGACUCUGUUUCUGGCUCCCCAGUCCUCUACAGGGUACCCUCGCCCAGGUGGCUCAGCACCAGCUCUGAUGCUGCAUCCAGAUCAUCCUGGCUGGCAGAGACCUGGGCAGUUGGUCCCCUGGCACCUGCUUUUCCAGAGGGACCCACACAGGGCUUCAAAUGGACAGCACCUCCCCAGCCCCUUACUCUGGGAGGAAGGGCUGAGGAGAGACCCAUUAUAGUGAUGUGACGGAAACAGGCUUCCAACAGUGAACACAGUGGUGGCUAACAUUGGCCUUGGAUGGCUUUCGGUGACAUGCUGUCACUGUCUGCUCCCUCAGGGACUGCACAGCCCACAGGCCCAGAGCAUAGCUCGGUGUCCAAAGCCCAUCUGGAGCCAGAGCCCUCUUCUCAUGCUGCAGCUUCCUGGCCCUUCCUGCUGCCACUUCUCCAGCUGCCAAGCUCCUGGUGGCAGCCUCUGCUGCUGCCCUGUCAGUUGUCAAAAACAAAGACAUGAGAAAGAAAGAAAGAAAGAAAGAAA
ensembl:lncRNA